CUGACCCAGUGAACAUCUCAGAGGUCUGCAUCAUUUGAUUAUAGCAUCACAUAUCUGACAAAGAGCUCCACCCCUUACCAAUGAGCAGUAGCAGCUUUUAGGGGAAGAUAAGACAAGAGGCAACUGGGCAGAAUAACAGCUGGAGGAAGGUUGUUGCCUGUCGCUGUUAGGGGGAAAUAGGGGACACCUGCUACUACCUCUGCCUUGGGAGGCUUCAACAAGAUGCAGAGAUAUUUUUUCCUGAAAUGAACAACUUGGCAACAUAAAGAUGAACUUUUGCCAUGUUUUGGUAGCUCCAAAUCUGCAUUUUUUCAGCUGAAAAAUUUCACCUAGCUCUACCCAAGAGACAGAAUCAAAAUACCAUAAACUUGAACAUCCAAUCAGUGGGAGUGCUGACUGCAUCUAAAUCUUGCAUCUUCCAUGCAGAAGCAAUGGAACCUAGAAGCAGGAAGAGAGCAUGCUUCCCAUCCACUCAGAUCAGCAACAGCCUCUCCUCCUAUUUCCAUCACAGCAACAGUUCCAGAUCUAGCCCUUAAAAACCCUAGGUCCACCGGGAGGAUUCAGAUGACCACCAGCAGCAGGAGGAGGAGCUGCAAGCAGGACAGAAAGGUCUCAUACACUCUUGAAGUCAUCUGAGCAACCUGAUGUUGAAUUGUUUCUGGCCUAGAUUGUUGCAGAUGGACCACACCAGAUUGAGGCUCUGUUGGACCAGCUCCGGAGACUUGCUCUUGAUGAGCCAGUCAUUGAGAUACAGGAAGAUUUGGAUGCCUCAACUUCUCAGGUCCCUGACGAGGCUUCCAGAGUGUUGGCCAGAAGGGCUUCCUGGCUGAUUGUGGCCUGUGCAUGCCCAACAAGCGAAGGGUAGCCCUAGUGUCCUUCAACCCGUGCAGCUUGGCAUCCAUUUGAUCCAAGAACAGACCAACUCUGUCAAAGGGGAGGUCCUGGAUCGAGGCCUGCAUCUCCUGGGAGAGGCCUGCUGUCUGGAGCCAGGAACUAUGUCGCAUGACCACCACCGAUGUGACCACCUUUCCUGCUGAGUCCACCAUGUCCCAUGCAGUCUGCAGGGAGCAUCUGGCCACCAUCAUACCCUUCUCCACCAGAGUUGCAAACUCUUGGGCCAAACCCUGAAGGAGGUAUUCCUGGAACUUUUUGAGACCAUCCCAGAGAUUAAAAUUAUACCGGCCCUGCAGGGGCUGAUGAUUCACUACCCAAAAUUGCAGGCUGGAGGUGGAAUAAAUUUUUCUCCCAAAUAAAUCAAGUUUCUUAGCCUUGUUGUGUUUGGGAGUCAAGGAGGCGGGGACCUGCUUGUCUUUUUCAUUGGCUGCAAAUACAACCAGCAAGCCUGGGGGCAGAUGAGUAUAGAGGUACUCGAAAUCUCUGGCCAGCAUAAAGUACUUUUUCUCUGCCCAUUUUGAGGUGGACGGGAUGAAGGAGGGGGUCUGCAACAAGGCCUGGGCUAUCUUGAGGACUCCCUCAUGCACAAGCAGGGCAACCUGGGAACACGUAGAGGCUGAGAGAACGUUGAAGAGGGUGUCCUCCUGCUCUGCCAUCUCCUGUACCUCAAGCCUAAAGUCCUCGGCCACGCACCAUAGAAGGUCUUGAUGUUCUCUAAGUCAUCCAGCAGGCUAGCUCUGGAAGGUCCCAUAAUCUCCUCAUCUGGGGAUGACGAGGAAGACUGGACCUCCGGUCUCGGGUCUCGACUACCGCUGAAGAAAGAGGCUUUGGGGUGGGAACAGGUUCCUCCACCCUGACCUCAGAACGCGCUUUUGGUACCAGGUCCAGUGCCGUUGGAGCCACCGUCCGAGCUUCCAUUGCAAGCACUAAGGAGUGCUGUGAAGGAGGCAUCAUCACAACCAGUACGCCCCACGUGCUCCAAUAAGGCCACUGUGCUGGCCACUGACGAAGGUGCAGACAGGAGUGUGGGUCCCAUAUCACUCCCAGGAGUCAGUGGCGGACCCUUAACAGGGCUGGGUGCCCCAGCUGGGGAGGAACGAUUGCAUAGCUCUGGAAUAGUCUGGUGGGCAGGCCUGAGUCCCUUGGUAGAUGACACCUGGGCCUUCUUGCUGAGUGCCAAGGAGCACUUCUUGGCCUUUUUCUUCGGCACUGGCAAAGGUGAACAGUGCUAGUAGGAGUCGGGUCCUGGAGGUGUGCUGCGCAUGGAGGCCGAGGCACUUGGUGUGACCUGACUGGGUGGCUUGGAAGCCAGGAGGAGGGGGCAGAUGUCUUGCUCUUUCUGGGUGCGGGGACAAAAGUUUUUGAAGACCCGCCACCACCCCUUAAUGUGUGACCACAACGGGCAGUAAGAAUGAACUGAUACGGUGUAGGGCCGGCGGCACCUGAUAUAUCCAGCAUGAGCGCAACACUUCAGAUAGGGUUGCCAGGUGUCUGUUUUUUUUUUACCAGAACACCCAGUCGAAAAGGUCACUUUGGAGGCUUCGGUCAGCACUGCCGACCAGGCUGUUAA